AGCGAACGCUGGCGGCAGGCCUAACACAUGCAAGUCGAACGAAGUCUUCGGACUUAGUGGCGGACGGGUGAGUAACACGUGGGAACGUACCUUUUGGUUCGGAACAACUCAGGGAAACUUGAGCUAAUACCGGAUGAGCCCUUAGGGGGAAAGAUUUAGCGCCGAAAGAGCGGCCCGCGUUAGAUUAGCUAGUUGGUGAGGUAAAGGCUCACCAAGGCUACGAUCUAUAGCUGGUCUGAGAGGAUGAUCAGCCACACUGGGACUGAGACACGGCCCAGACUCCUACGGGAGGCAGCAGUGGGGAAUCCUGCGCAAUGGGCGAAAGCCUGACGCAGCCAUGCCGCGUGAAUGAUGAAGGUCUUAGGAUUGUAAAAUUCUUUUACCAGGGACGAUAAUGACGGUACCUGGAGAAAAAGCCCCGGCUAACUUCGUGCCAGCCGCCGCAGUAAUAC
rnacentral:rRNA from 1 species